GCGACACGAACAGAUCACCUCUGACAGGUCGCGGACAGCUCACCCUCUUCCUCGCUCGCCUUCUUCCUCUCAUAUCCACCACCGUCGGCGUCUUCCUCACUGCGCCCCACCAUGUCGCUGCCGCCGCCUUGCUCCCGCACGCCCUAUAUCCCUCCUCUAUUCCACUGCCACGCUACCACCUCAGUAGGUUCCGUGGAGAAGAUGGUGAGGCCAAGGUCAGAUUUUUCUGGCCAUGGGCGGCGGAUCUGCAAGCGGCAGGGCUGGAUCCUUCGCUUCUUUUACCGGAGUGUAGCGGCAAGGACGGCGGUAGCGGCGCCCUCGAACACGAUAUUUUAGGCGCAGGCGACGAGCUUCUGGGUGGCGGAGCCGCUGGUUCUGCGUGCGCCGGUGCUACUGCAGCGGCCGGCGGCUCGAGCGUCGAGCCCGUCGCCCUGCUUCCCUCCGACAACCCCGACGCCAUAGUCCGCCUCCCCCCCGUACGGAGUUGGCGGUGGCAGUGGCAAGUCCGCAGCCGGCGGUGUGGGACCAGUUCAAGGAGGAGGGGAUCAUGGAGGGGAGCUGCGGGAGGAGGUGGAGAUCAAGAAGAGACUGCUGGUCCAUGCCCGUGAGAAUGGGAAUGGACAUGGCCAUGUCAAUGGAGGAGAAGCAGAGGAGGACAAUGGGAAGGGCCCGAGGUUGCUGAAGAGGAGCAGCAGCCGCACAAGAGUAUCUGAAGGAAGUAUGCUGUACAUGCAAGUGUUCUGAACAUGCUUCUGAAUGUUUCCAGAUUCUGAACAUGCAAGAAAAUCUGCAGGACUGCAGCCUGUCUUCCUUGAACAUGGGUGAAGCAUAUUUUUUGGAUAUACUCCCAAAAAUAUCAUUGGUGUAUUACUGAAAAGGAGAUGGUUCAUAAGGAGUACUUUGCUGCAGCACUUGUAUCAAGCUGUGUCCUACUCCAAUUUUGUGACAUUUUCUUAAUGUGGGCUAGGUGGUUAUGGCAAUGAAGACAAGGUUGCCAGGGCCUAUGAUCUGUCUGCUCUGAAAUAUUGGGGGGCCAUCGACGCACACCAAUUUCUCGAUUAGUGGAAAAUUAUCGAGAGGCGGAGGAGAUGUAAAGCAUGACAAGGCAGGAAUUCGUUGCACACUUGAGAAGUGAUCUCCUGGAGUUAGUUUCAGCAGAGAGAGGAGAUGAACCUGGGCAGCAGCCGAGCCUCAACCUGGGCGCGGGCGAGGAAGAGCCCAGCACCAGGUCGCCUCCACCUGGGCACGCGCGGGCCAGGAGGAGCCCCUGGGCAUGGAGGAGGAGCGCCUGGGCGUGCGAGCACGCGGAUGGAGGUGGACUGGAGCGCCUGGCCGGAGGCGGUGGCGGGGCGGAGGCGGAGGUGGAGGGCGGGGCAGAGAUGGGGCCGGAGGUAGAAGACUAGAACCAGGGUAUUAACGUCAUUUCACAGCUUUUCACCUGGUCGGAACAAGGUCCCCAACGACCUAUAUUUCGGAACGGAGGGAGUA